rnacentral:rRNA from 1 species
CCUAACACAUGCAAGUCGUACGAGAAAGCCGGCUUCGGCUGGUGAGUAAAGUGGCGCACGGGUGAGUAACGCGUGGAUAAUCUGCCCUUAAGUGUGGAAUAACGUACCGAAAGGUGCGCUAAUACCGCAUAAUGCCUGGCAACACAAGUUGUCCGGCCAAAGAAGGCCUCUGUUUACAAGCUUUCGCUUCAGGAUGAGUCCGCGUACCAUUAGCUUGUUGGUGGGGUAAUGGCCUACCAAGGCUGCGAUGGUUAGCUGGUCUGAGAGGAUGAUCAGCCACACUGGAACUGAGACACGGUCCAGACUCCUACGGGAGGCAGCAGUGAGGAAUAUUGCGCAAUGGGGGCAACCCUGACGCAGCAACGCCGCGUGAGUGAAGAAGGUCUUCGGACCGUAAAGCUCUGUCGAGCGGGAAGAAAUGCAUGCUGGCUAAUAUCCAUCAUGCUUGACGGUACCGCUAGAGGAAGCACCGGCUAACUCCGUG